rnacentral:tRNA from 1 species
AGCUCAGCUGGGAGAGCACCUCCCUUACAAGAGGGGGUCGGCGGUUCGAUCCCGUCAUCACCCACCA